UGGGGAAUUUUGGACAAUGGGCGAAAGCCUGAUCCAGCAAUGCCGCGUGUGUGAAGAAGGCCUUCGGGUUGUAAAGCACUUUUGUCCGGAAAGAAAUCCUUGGCUCUAAUACAGUCGGGGGAUGACGGUACCGGAAGAAUAAGCACCGGCUAACUACGUGCCAGCAGCCGCGGUAAUACGUAGGGUGCAAGCGUUAAUCGGAAUUACUGGGCGUAAAGCGUGCGCAGGCGGUUUGCUAAGACCGAUGUGAAAUCCCCGGGCUCAACCUGGGAACUGCAUUGGUGACUGGCAGGCUAGAGUAUGGCAGAGGGGGGUAGGAAUUCCACGUGUAGCAGUGAAAUGCGUAGAGAUGUGGAGGAAUACCGAUGGCGAAGGCAGCCCCUGGGCAAUACUGACGCUCAUGCACGAAAGCGUGGGGAGCAAACAGGAUUAGAUACCCUGGUAGUCCACGCCCUAAAACGAUGUCAACUAGUUGUUGGGGAUCAUUCCUUAGUAACGUAGCUAACGCGUGAAGUUGACCGCCU
rnacentral:rRNA from 1 species